UGGCAAACUGGUUAAGCGUUUGGCUGCUAACCAAAAGGUCGGCAGUUCAAAUCUACC
rnacentral:tRNA from 1 species